rnacentral:rRNA from 1 species
AGAGUUUGAUCCUGGCUCAGAUUGAACGCUGGCGGCAGGCUUAACACAUGCAAGUCGAACGAAGUGUUGGUGCUUGCACUAACACUUAGUGGCGAACGGGUGAGUAAUACUUGGGAAUCUGCCUUGUAGCGGGGGAUAACGUUUCGAAAGGAACGCUAAUACCGCAUACGUCCUACGGGAGAAAGGAGGGGAUCUUCGGACCUUCCACUAUAAGAUGAGCCCAAGCGAGAUUAGCUAGUUGGUAAGGUAAAGGCUUACCAAGGCGACGAUCUCUAGCUGGUCUGAGAGGAUGAUCAGCCACACUGGGACUGAGACACGGCCCAGACUCCUACGGGAGGCAGCAGUGGGGAAUAUUGGACAAUGGGCGAAAGCCUGAUCCAGCCAUGCCGCGUGUGUGAAGAAGGCCUUCGGGUUGUAAAGCACUUUAAGCGAGGAGGAAUGGCUCUGGGUUAAUACCCUUGAGCAGUGACGUUACUCGCAGAAUAAGCACCGGCUAACUCUGUGCCAGCAGCCGCGGUAAUACAGAGGGUGCAAGCGUUAAUCGGAAUUACUGGGCGUAAAGCGCGCGUAGGCGGUUACGUAAGUUGGAGGUGAAAUCCCCGAGCUCAACUUGGGAAUUGCCUUCAAAACUGCGUGGCUAGAGUGUGGGAGAGGAAGGUAGAAUUCCAGGUGUAGCGGUGAAAUGCGUAGAUAUCUGGAGGAAUACCGAUGGCGAAGGCAGCCUUUCUGGCCUAACACUGACGCUGAGGUGCGAAAGCAUGGGGAGCAAACAGGAUUAGAUACCCUGGUAGUCCAUGCCGUAAACGAUGUCUACUAGCCGUUGGGGGACUUGAUCCUUUAGUGGCGCAGCUAACGCAUUAAGUAGACCGCCUGGGGAGUACGGUCGCAAGACUAAAACUCAAAUGAAUUGACGGGGGCCCGCACAAGCGGUGGAGCAUGUGGUUUAAUUCGAUGCAACGCGAAGAACCUUACCUGGCCUUGACAUGUCUGGAAUCCUGUAGAGAUACGGGAGUGCCUUCGGGAAUCAGAACACAGGUGCUGCAUGGCUGUCGUCAGCUCGUGUCGUGAGAUGUUGGGUUAAGUCCCGCAACGAGCGCAACCCUUGUCCUUAGUUGCCAGCACGUAAUGGUGGGAACUCUAGGGAGACUGCCGGUGACAAACCGGAGGAAGGCGGGGACGACGUCAAGUCAUCAUGGCCCUUACGGCCAGGGCUACACACGUGCUACAAUGGUCGGUACAAAGGGUUGCCAACUCGCGAGAGUGCGCUAAUCUCAAAAAGCCGAUCGUAGUCCGGAUUGGAGUCUGCAACUCGACUCCAUGAAGUCGGAAUCGCUAGUAAUCGCGGAUCAGAAUGCCGCGGUGAAUACGUUCCCGGGCCUUGUACACACCGCCCGUCACACCAUGGGAGUUUACUGCACCAGAAGUAGUUAGCCUAACCGCAAGGAGGGCGAUUACCACGGUGUGGUCAAUGACUGGGGUGAAGUCGUAACAAGGUAACC